rnacentral:rRNA from 1 species
GGGUUGUGAGGUUAAGCGACUAAGCGUACACGGUGGAUGCCCUGGCAGUCAGAGGCGAUGAAGGACGUGCUAAUCUGCGAAAAGCGCCGGCGAGGUGAUAUGAACCCUUGACCCGGCGAUGUCCGAAUGGGGAAACCCAGUGUGUUCCGACACACUAUCGUUAACUGAAUACAUAGGUUAACGAGGCGAACCGGGGGAACUGAAACAUCUAAGUACCCCGAGGAAAAGAAAUCAACCGAGAUUCCCCCAGUAGCGGCGAGCGAACGGGGAGCAGCCCGGAGUCUGAAUCAGCUUGUGUGUUAGUGGAACGGUCUGGAAAGUCCGACGGUACAGGGUGAUAGUCCCGUACACAAAAACACACUUGCUGUGAACUCGAAGAGUAGGGCGGGACACGUGGUAUCCUGUCUGAAUAUGGGGGGACCAUCCUCCAAGGCUAAAUACUCCUGACUGACCGAUAGUGAACCAGUACCGUGAGGGAAAGGCGAAAAGAACCCCGGCGAGGGGAGUGAAAAAGAACCUGAAACCGUGUACGUACAAGCAGUGGGAGCACCUUCGGGUGUGACUGCGUACCUUUUGUAUAAUGGGUCAGCGACUUAUAUUCUGUAGCAAGGUUAACCGUAUAGGGGAGCCGAAGGGAAACCGAGUCUUAACUGGGCGUUAAGUUGCAGGGUAUAGACCCGAAACCCGGUGAUCUAGCCAUGGGCAGGUUGAAGGUUGGGUAACACUAACUGGAGGACCGAACCGACUAAUGUUGAAAAAUUAGCGGAUGACCUGUGGCUGGGGGUGAAAGGCCAAUCAAACCGGGAGAUAGCUGGUUCUCCCCGAAAGCUAUUUAGGUAGCGCCUCGUGAACUCAUCUUCGGGGGUAGAGCACUGUUUCGGCUAGGGGGCCAUCCCGGCUUACCAACCCGAUGCAAACUACGAAUACCGAAGAAUGUUAUCACGGGAGACACACGGCGGGUGCUAACGUCCGUCGUGAAGAGGGAAACAACCCAGACCGCCAGCUAAGGUCCCAAAGUCAUGGUUAAGUGGGAAACGAUGUGGGAAGGCACAGACAGCCAGGAUGUUGGCUUAGAAGCAGCCAUCAUUUAAAGAAAGCGUAAUAGCUCACUGGUCGAGUCGGCCUGCGCGGAAGAUGUAACGGGGCUAAACCAUGCACCGAAGCUGCGGCAGCGACGCUUAUGCGUUGUUGGGUAGGGGAGCGUUCUGUAAGCCGUUGAAGGUGUGCUGUGAGGCAUGCUGGAGGUAUCAGAAGUGCGAAUGCUGACAUAAGUAACGAUAAAGCGGGUGAAAAGCCCGCUCGCCGGAAGACCAAGGGUUCCUGUCCAACGUUAAUCGGGGCAGGGUGAGUCGACCCCUAAGGCGAGGCCGAAAGGCGUAGUCGAUGGGAAACAGGUUAAUAUUCCUGUACUUGGUGUUACUGCGAAGGGGGGACGGAGAAGGCUAUGUCAGCCGGGCGACGGUUGUCCCGGUUUAAGCAUGUAGGCGGAGGUUCCAGGUAAAUCCGGUACCUUGUUAACGCUGAGGUGUGAUGACGAGGCACUACGGUGCUGAAGUGAUAAAUGCCCUGCUUCCAGGAAAAGCCUCUAAGCAUCAGGUAACACGAAAUCGUACCCCAAACCGACACAGGUGGUCAGGUAGAGAAUACCAAGGCGCUUGAGAGAACUCGGGUGAAGGAACUAGGCAAAAUGGUGCCGUAACUUCGGGAGAAGGCACGCUGAUAUGUAGGUGAAGUCCCUGCGGACGGAGCUGAAAUCAGUCGAAGAUACCAGCUGGCUGCAACUGUUUAUUAAAAACACAGCACUGUGCAAACACGAAAGUGGACGUAUACGGUGUGACGCCUGCCCGGUGCCGGAAGGUUAAUUGAUGGGGUUAGCGGCAACGCGAAGCUCUUGAUCGAAGCCCCGGUAAACGGCGGCCGUAACUAUAACGGUCCUAAGGUAGCGAAAUUCCUUGUCGGGUAAGUUCCGACCUGCACGAAUGGCGUAAUGAUGGCCAGGCUGUCUCCACCCGAGACUCAGUGAAAUUGAACUCGCUGUGAAGAUGCAGUGUACCCGCGGCAAGACGGAAAGACCCCGUGAACCUUUACUAUAGCUUGACACUGAACACUGGUCCUUGAUGUGUAGGAUAGGUGGGAGGCUUUGAAGCGUGGACGCCAGUCUGCGUGGAGCCGUCCUUGAAAUACCACCCUUUAAUGGCUGGUGUUCUAACGUAGACCCGUGAUCCGGGUUGCGGACAGUGUCUGGUGGGUAGUUUGACUGGGGCGGUCUCCUCCCAAAGAGUAACGGAGGAGCACGAAGGUUGGCUAAUCCUGGUCGGACAUCAGGAGGUUAGUGCAAUGGCAUAAGCCAGCUUGACUGCGAGCGUGACGGCGCGAGCAGGUGCGAAAGCAGGUCAUAGUGAUCCGGUGGUUCUGAAUGGAAGGGCCAUCGCUCAACGGAUAAAAGGUACUCCGGGGAUAACAGGCUGAUACCGCCCAAGAGUUCAUAUCGACGGCGGUGUUUGGCACCUCGAUGUCGGCUCAUCACAUCCUGGGGCUGAAGUAGGUCCCAAGGGUAUGGCUGUUCGCCAUUUAAAGUGGUACGCGAGCUGGGUUUAGAACGUCGUGAGACAGUUCGGUCCCUAUCUGCCGUGGGCGCUGGAGAAUUGAGGGGGGCUGCUCCUAGUACGAGAGGACCGGAGUGGACGCAUCACUGGUGUUCGGGUUGUCAUGCCAAUGGCACUGCCCGGUAGCUAAAUGCGGAAGAGAUAAGUGCUGAAAGCAUCUAAGCACGAAACUUGCCCCGAGAUGAGUUCUCCCUGAGACUUUAAGUCUCCUGAAGGAACGUUGAAGACGACGACGUUGAUAGGUCGGGUGUGUAAGCGCAGCGAUGCGUUGAGCUAACCGAUACUAAUGAACCGUGAGGCUUAACCUUACAACGCCGAAG